AGCAGCUCAUAUAUAAGUAAAACAAACUUGCCGUAACUUUACAUAAGUACAACAAUAAUUGGAUUAUUAUAAAAUGCCAAAAAAUAUCUAAAAAUACUUAAAGAGGUGUACAAAUAAUAAUCGCCUGCUUCCCGGUCCGAUAAAGCGGCUAAUAGAGUGGCUAUAUAUAAAAGAUAUAUCGUAUCCCUUAUUUAUUUAUUCAUGUAGCUCCACCAGCAAAGAAAUCAAGCUAGAUUCUUGGUUUUCUCAUACACUCUCUUCCUACGUCUACUCUUCUUCUUUCUCCUUCUCUUAGUCUUUUUAUUGUGUAGAAUCUCUUAAGGCUGAGCUUGCAUUUGAGACAGACUCUUCUCCUUCAGGUUAGAACUGUGUGUCUCUAGCCUCCCGUAGUAGUAUUGCCGAUACUCAUUAGUCAUUUGUGAGGUCCAUCAUUUCCUCCAAUUGAAUAAACCCCUUGCGCGAAAGAAGAAACAGAGCCCUUAGACACAAGAUUUUUCUUCUUCGAUGCAAUUGCUGUUGUAAAAUUCGAUCUGCAAAUUUCAAAAGUUAUCAUUCAAAAGUAAAUUUAUAAAAAGAUUUUAAGGAAGGUUCGCUCUUCUUCUCUACCAAUAAAAUGACGCGUGGAAAUCAAAGAGAUUUGGCAAGAGCUAAAGCAAUGAAAAAAGAAAAAUCUGGUAAGUCUGCAUCCGAUCAAGAUGGAAACAAGGGUCUUACACUAGAACAAAGAAAACAGAGGGAUGCAGAUCGUAUGAGAGAAAAACAAUUGAAGAAGAUACAAGACAAGGAGGCUGGCGGUGGUGGUGGAGGAGGAGGGAAUAAGUGAUCCUCUGGAUAAUGAUUUUACUGGCUUUACACAUAAGAUAUUUUGACACCAUGUGCAUAAUGAAUACUGAAUAAAAGUUUCCUUUCAUCCCUUUUUUUAUGUGAAAAAAAAUCUCAAUUAAAUUCCUCAAUAUUUUUUUUUAUCUGUUAACAAAAUUGUUCGUCCCAACAUUCAAUUUUUCUUCGUUUAUAAAUCUUAUGUGGAAUUCUUUUUUUAAAUAAAAAAACACAACUUUU
rnacentral:misc_RNA from 1 species